rnacentral:rRNA from 1 species
CCUACGGGUGGCAGCAGUGGGGAAUAUUGCACAAUGGGGGGAACCCUGAUGCAGCAAUGCCGCGUGAAGGAUGAAGGUUUUCGGAUUGUAAACUUCUUUUGUACGGGACGAAGAAAGUGACGGUACCGUAAGAAUAAGCCACGGCUAACUACGUGCCAGCAGCCGCGGUAAUACGUAGGGGGCAAGCGUUAUCCGGAUUUACUGGGUGUAAAGGGGGCGCAGACGGCGAUGCAAGCCAGGAGUGAAAGCCCGGGGCCCAACCCCGGGACUGCUCUUGGAACUGCGUGGCUGGAGUGCAGGAGGGGCAGGCGGAAUUCCUGGUGUAGCGGUGAAAUGCGUAGAUAUCAGGAGGAACACCGGUGGCGAAGGCGGCCUGCUGGACUGCAACUGACGUUGAGGCCCGAAAGCGUGGGGAGCAAACAGGAUUAGAUACCCCAGUAGUC